rnacentral:rRNA from 1 species
UACGGGAGGCAGCAGUGGGGAAUAUUGCACAAUGGGCGCAAGCCUGAUGCAGCCAUGCCGCGUGUAUGAAGAAGGCCUUCGGGUUGUAAAGUACUUUCAGUCGUGAGGAAGGUGUUAAGGUUAAUAACCUUAGCAAUUGACGUUAGCGACAGAAGAAGCACCGGCUAACUCCGUGCCAGCAGCCGCGGUAAUACGGAGGGUGCGAGCGUUAAUCGGAAUUACUGGGCGUAAAGGGCACGCAGGCGGUUAAUUAAGUUGGAUGUGAAAUCCCCGGGCUUAACCUGGGAAUGGCAUUCAAGACUGGUUUAGCUAGAGUCUUGUAGAGGGGGUAGAAUUCCAUGUGUAGCGGUGAAAUGCGUAGAGAUGUGGAGGAAUACCGGUGGCGAAGGCGGCCCCUGGGACAAAGACUGACGCUCAUGUGCGAAAGCGUGGGGAGCAAACAGGGAUUAGAUACC